CGUGCCUGCACUAUGAAUGGGGCUUAAGAAAGGGUGUCCUUGGGCUCCCAUCCUCUCCUCCAUCCCCUGCCUCCUGACACGGGGCAGCAGCGUGCGAACAGAGCAGUGUGGGAGAUGAGAGGGGAGCGCACUCCAAGCUCACUGCCUUACUGUGCAGCCAGCUUGUCCCGCUGCUGCACGGGGAUGCUGAGGAUGCUGCUGGAGAAUGCACAGACAAGGAAGGACAGUGGGGAGGGGGAAGCUCGGGGGGCUUUCUGCAGCUUUGUUCUUCGGGCUGAACUGGGUGUGAGCUGUGUUUUGGCCACGCACCUGCUGCAGAUGUCGGAAUGGCUUUCUUUGCACAAACACCUGGAUGCGUAGGUCUGGCCAGGAAACCUUCAAGUAGGAGCACUUUCCCUUCUAAGCAGACCGAGGAGAAAAUGCAGUGGGAGAGAAGAUCCACUCUUCUGAGGACAGAGUACUUGGCCAACGUUGAAUGAAUCCUGGUGCACCAUAGGUCGGUAGUCAUUAUCAUCAUUGUUAUACUGGCCUCCAAAACCCAGAGUCCUGCUCUAGAUGGUUCUGCUAAUAAGAAGGACAAUGCAAGGAUGGAGAAAAUGGGGUGUUGGUGAGCGAGGUGCGUAGUACUCCUCCUGGGAUGUUCUCCUGUUGGUUGGGAACACAUCCAACUUGUCAGGAUGGAACCGGUGACCACCCGGGCUUCACUUCUCAUCUCUGCUGAUGCGCUCUAAAAUCGGGCUCCCCUCCAGCACGUUUGGAGCAGCAGUGCUGAGAACAUUGCUCUGAACCCUCCAUCCACCACUGAGAAAAACUCAUAGAGGAGGAAAAUCAGGUUCCAGAUUGCUCAGCAGAAAGGAAAAACCAGCUUGGAAGCCCCUCUGGAAGAGAGCCAGGCAGUAAUCUCACGGCGUGUGGGUGAGAAUGGCAGCAUCUCCUUUGGCCUCUGACGGAGCUGCUCACACUCAGCAUCCAACCUCCUCCGUUUAUAGCCCCGAUUUCCAACCAGCUAAAUGAAAAUACUUGUGGGCAGCAAAAAUAGCCGGUGCUGAAAACCUGUGUCUACCGAGGGUGGAAAUUGCUGGGAGUUCCUCUGUGUCCACAGCCCAUCAUUAGGAGCGGUGGCAUAAACCCGGCGGUUGCGCGGCGUGCCGCUGGCGGGCUCCCUGCAGAGACCCAGGGCUGAGUGCCCACCGCAGCCCAUGGGAUGCUCUGAGGAUGCUGCUGAGGAAUUGGCUUUUUGGGGGGAAGUAGGAAAAAGCAGCACGCGUUUUUCCCUUGCAUCAGCACGGUAUGCAGUAGGGAGGAGUUUGCCAUCGUUGAGAGGUAAGCUCGUUUCUGCUCCCUCUGUGGGACAGGGGAUGCGGUGCUGGGAUGAGAAUUGGGUUGCAUGGAGCUGCUGAGGUUGCUCCAUCUGUGGUGGUGUGUUCACAGUGCAGAAUUUAUUGCUGUAAGUAUGCAAAUGUGCCAUGCAAACAUAUGCAAAUCCUGAUCUUUUAUCAGUUGGCAAGGUACGGUUAAACAUCACAACUGGGAGGCCCAGCAGCCAGCAGAGGAGCGCUGCAGGGCAGUGCCAGGGCUCAGCUGCCAGCAGCACAGGCUGGGAAUGCUGUAGGUUGCUGUUGUGUUAUAGCAGCAGCAAGGAAGUGUUUUGCUUCAUCAUUUAGCAAAUGCAGUCAUGCAAUGAGGCAAUGCCACCAUUGGUGCUUUGGUUGACUCCCCUUGCAGCUCCAGGUGCGAGUGGGGGUGCACUGACCAUCAGCUCAUAUUGCUCCUGUACUGACUCAUUUAUCUUUUGGUGCUCAUUCUCCAACACCACAUGGAAAUGCUUGAGCAGCCACUCUAACCUUUGGGCUGCAGUAAUGAGCCUCACAUGGCAUCUGAUUGGCAACAUGUGGUCUGGGUCAUUGCUUUGCUUCAGCUGCUUGUUAGGCCCUGAUCUCCAUUUGAUUUCAAGGUGAAACUAAUGGGAUUUUGUUGAGGCUCCUCUCGUUCAGCGUGGAUCUCACAGCUAAGCAUCCUGGUGGAGGCAGGGAGGGGUCAGAGCUGACCUGACUCCUUCCCCAGCUCUGCAGGGAAUGGAGGCAAUGUUCUGCUAUGUGUGGACUCUGCUGGUGCAUCUCUGGACUCAGUUGGAAGCAGGUGUUCCUGUUAGAGAACGUGGAGGGGACAAAUGCAACAAUCUCUUGUGAGCAAACAGGAACCUGUGAUGGUCAACCCUUCAUUGGAAGGGGAUCCCUCAGUGCUGGAUCUGGAAUACAAACGUUUGCCAAGAGGUAAACACAUCUGGCAAAACCUUCACUCGCUAAGAAGUCAUCUGACUUGGAAGGAUAUUUCGGAGAGAAUAUGAGAACGUAUCGGAUCGACUCUGCAAAGGAAUGGCCUUCUUCACUCAUGUUUUCCAUAAGAUCCUGGCCAACUUGGCCAAUAACUAAGGCAAGGAACAGGGGAAAAAAAAGUGGUGUUGCCAGUUGCAUCUGAACUGCUAAGGACAGAAAGACAGCUGCUUGAAAGCAAUAACGAGGGCCUACCUCGAAUGACUUUGGAGAAGAAUCUCCAUAACUGAGAGAGGAACCCAGACCACUGAAAUGUGAAAGAAGCCCCAUCCUGUUCCCCAGGCAGAAAGCAUUCGGAUUUGUCUCAAGCACAGCUUCAGCCACACACCUGCAGGAUGGAAACAGGCAGAGCAAACAAUGAAACAAGGCUGU